CGGAGUGGACGCACCACUGGUGUUCGGGUUGUCAUGCCAAUGGCAUUGCCCGGUAGCUAAGUGCGGAAGAGAUAACCGCUGAAAGCAUCUAAGCGGGAAACUUGCCUUGAGAUGAGUCUUCCCUGACCCUUUAAGGGUCCUAAAGGAACGUUUAAGACUAAGACGUUGAUAGGUUGGGUGUGUAAGCGUAGCGAUACGUUGAGCUAACCAAUACUAAUGAACCGUGAGGCUUAACCUGACAACACCGAAGGUGUUUUAG
rnacentral:rRNA from 1 species